CGUCGUCCUCGGCGACGGCCCGGCGCGUGCCGGUCCGGGCGGCGUACGCCGCGGGGUCGCGCUCCGCGGCCGCGGCCCGGCGCCGCUCGGCGACGUC
rnacentral:tRNA from 1 species